AGUUUGAUCCUGGCCUCAGGAUGAACGCUAGUUACAGGCUAAACACAUGCAAGUCGUGGGGAAAACGACCGGGAAGCUUGCUUUUCCGGGGGCGUCGACCGGCGCACGGGUGAAGUAACGCGUAUCCAACCUGCCCCAAAGUAGGGAAUAAUCCGUAGAAAUGCGGUCUAAUGCCCUAUGUGGUGACAAGAAGACAUCCGAUUGUCACUAAAGGUCCGCCGCUUUGGGAUGGGGAUGCGUCUGAUUAGAUUGUUGGCGGGGCAACGGCCCACCAAGUCCACGAUCAGUAGGGGUUCUGAGAGGAAAGUCCCCCACAUUGGAACUGAGACACGGUCCAAACUCCUACGGGAGGCAGCAGUGAGGAAUAUUGGUCAAUGGCCGCGAGGCUGAACCAGCCAAGUAGCGUGCAGGACGACGGCCCUAUGGGUUGUAAACUGCUUUUGCGCGGGGAUAAAGUGCGCCACGUGUGGCGCAUUGCAGGUACCGCGCGAAUAAGGACCGGCUAAUUCCGUGCCAGCAGCCGCGGUAAUACGUAAGGUCCGGGCGUUAUCCGGAUUUAUUGGGUGUAAAGGGAGUGCAGGCGGUGGGUCAAGUCUGAAGUGAAAUGUCGGGGCUCAACCCGUAACUUGCAGUGGGAACUGUCGGCCUAGAGUAUGCGCGAGGCAGGCGGAAUUCGCAGUGUAGCGGUGAAAUGCGUAGAUAUUAGGAGGAACACCAGUGGCGAAGGCGGAUUGCUGGACGACAACUGACGGUGAGGCGCGAAAGCGUGGGGAGCAAACAGGAUUAGAUACCCUGGUAGUCCACGCUGUAAACGAUGAAUACUAGGUGUGCGGGGACUGACCCCCUGCGUGCCGCAGCUAACGCAAUAAGUAUUCCACCUGGGGAGUACGAUCGCAAGGUUGAAACUCAAAGGAAUUGACGGGGGCCCGCACAAGCGGUGGAUUAUGUGGUUUAAUUCGAAGCAACGCGAAGAACCUUACCAGGGCUUGACAUCCUACUAACGAGAUAGAGAUAUGUUAGGUGCCCUUCGGGGAAAGUAGAGACAGGUGGUGCAUGGUUGUCGUCAGCUCGUGUCGUGAGAUGUUGGGUUAAGUCCCGCAACGAGCGCAACCCCUAUUGUUAGUUGCUACGCAAGAGCACUCUAGCGAGACUGCCGUUGACAAAACGGAGGAAGGUGGGGACGACGUCAAAUCAUCAUGCCCCUUAUGUCCUGGGCUACACACGUAAUACAAUGGCGGUAAACAGAGGGAUGCAAAACUGCAAGGUAGAGCGAACCCCUAAAAGCCGUCCCAGUUCAGAUUGUGGGCUGCAACCCGCCCACAUGAAGUCGGAAUCGCUAGUAAUCGCGGAUCAGCAUGCCGCGGUGAAUACGUUCCCGGGCCUUGCACUCACCGCCCGUCAAG
rnacentral:rRNA from 1 species